UCCCGGGGAGCGCGCGUCCUCCCCGGGCCGGGCGCCCGAGGGCCCCACGCGCCAAGGACGUAGGCUGUAUUUUGAGAGUUAGUUGCGAGCAACUCUUCGCCCUUAAGUAUUGCCGACAUGUGACCCACGCAAGUGACAAUUUCUUGCCUAAUAUCUCACUGUCACAGUGAAAUACUGUGACUAAGUCACAACUCAUAGAGAAAACUGAACGGUGCAUUGUAAAAUAGGACACAAAACAAAAGACUUCAUCUGAGAGCUGAGAUCAUCGCAGCCAGAGUACACAGACCCACUGCAGUAAUUCAACAGUGUUUCUCAGAGCCCAAGACAGUUUCUGCAAUUCUUGACUGGGGCUGUGACUGAGAUGUCAGAUCGGGGGAGAGGAUCAUAAAUUUCUGUUAUAUCUGGAUCCAGAUCAACAGGAGGAUCUAUGAGAAUUUGUUUUAAGGACUUAACAUUCUUUAAGUACAUGUGUAUGGGAACAUAUGAUGAGAGAGAUGGAAGAGAAGUGAGAGAUAAGGGCAUAUUACCAAAUGCCUGACUUAAGAAAGAAAAAAUUAUAAAAGAAAGACAUAUUGAGAUUGAAAGCAUCCGAAUUUUAUUCCAGCGACUCAAUCCCCAUUGUGUGAAGUAGACCAGAAUGAAUAAAUUGAACUUUGUAUAUUCAGCAGCUCAAUUAUUAAACAUAUCCACAGAAACUCAUUCUGUCAAAUUAACUGUGGAGGUUGUUGUUGCUAUUGCAGAGGAGAGCUCACUACACUCAUGGAAAGGAAAGAAAGGACCUGACUUUCGGCAUGACUGCUUUUGGCCCUAUGAACGAAUGUUCUCCUAGCAUUGGAAAGCUGGUGGUAAAAUAUUGGAACCACAAAUGGGCUAUGAGGAAAUGUGUUCAAUGAAGAAAACAAAAUCCCAGCAAGAUCCAACAAAUGAACAAAUGUCAGCAUUUGCUGUGACUGGUAAACCCGAAUAAAACACUUCUUUAGUUCUGUGCACAUUGCAACCAAAGGCUUUUCAUGAAUGAAUACUGUGGCAACCAGAUCCACUGGCCAUACAAAAACAAACCGUUCAUUUCUUAUCUCUGUGCUGGAAGGUUAUCUGGCUGGCUUAUCAGCGUGACCUCAGAAUGUCAGCUGAUUAUCCUAUGGUGCAUUCAGCCAGGUCAUUGUGCCCUGUCUGUGGCAAUCACAGAGUUCCAUCUGGACAGAGGUGGAACAAAUUACUUUCACCUUGAAAUUUUUUUUUUAAGUUUUCAAAGAUAAAGACUAUUGAUAUUGGCAUUUAAGAGAUACAUCUGGUGUGCCUUGGGCUGGAGGCCAGAUCUUUCUGCUGUUGAGUUUUCGUAUCAUUGUACAGGCUUCAGUAUUUCAGAAUUACUAUGCAUUUGAUAAAAUUGACUUUUCUAAAGUUUUAGGGAGAAUCUUUUGCUUAGGUGCAGCUGAAUAAUUUCAGUCCAAUACUAAAGAUGACAUACUGAAUAUACGAGAAGUUAAGUGACCGAUUCAAGGUUGCACAGCUAGUUCCUAAUAGAUCUGGAAUAGAACCAACAUCCUUUGGCCCUUUGUCAGAUAUUCUUUCUUUGAUAUCACACUGUUUUUAAGGAUGUUUAAAAUAUUUUAAGAUAAAAUUGUUAUUUGAAUCUGCUUAAACCAGAUGACUCUAAUUGUUCCCAAAUAUCCAUUAUCCUUUUCUUCUCUAGUAAUAGACCCCCUAAUUUUAACUCUCCCUCUCAGUUACAUGUACUGAGAGGGAGAGCUGAAAUAAUCUUCACUAGGAAUAGGAAAAAUGAUGUGUACAACUGCCUGGUUGUGCCCUUAUAGCUAUAUAGAAAGGCAUAACCUCCCAUGUUCCUUUUCUCUUCCCCACUCACUAGAGUAGUGAUGUGGUUAUGACUCAUUCCAGACCAUGUUGACAAGAACAACAUACUGGAGAUGGCAGAGAGGAAGUUAGAAGGAAGUUGGAACUCUGAUACUAUUCAUGUCUCGCCAGCCCUCGUUAGCCUAUGUCUAGACUUUUAUGCAAGGGAGAAAUAAACAUUUAUUUGUUUUAACUGCUGAUAUUUAGAUCUCAGUUACAGCAAUUGAACAUACAGUGCUAUUUAAUAACUUGCAAAUUUUAUGCUGCAAGUUAAUAUUUUAUAACUACCAAAUUUAAAUGCAAUAAAUGGACAUUAUGCCUGUGUAAAUGUUUGGCAGUCUUGGCAUUAAACUGUUACUAUCAUCUAUUAUGUGAGAUGGCUUUCCAUUCCAUGUGAAGUCUAUAUAAUAACUCACACAAUAUGACGCCUGAUGUGGCCUCUCUAACCUCACCCCUGCUGCUCUCUCCUCUCAGCUGGCUCCUGCCAUGCUUACUUCUGUGCUUUUCCUAAAUAUUCCAGAUAUGCUCAAUGCUACUUCCUCAGGGUAAAUGUUGUUUUGUUGGUAUUGUUGGUAGUUUUGCUUUUUUAUCCCUCUGUAGCAAAUAUCUUUGCCUAGCAAUCUGCAUAUGGUAUCUUGAUUCCGCAAUUGUAGAGUUUUGCUCGACUAUUAUCUUUUCAUUAAAUCCUCCCCUGAUGGCUUCAAUAAAUUUCAUUUUCCGUCACCUGGCAUUUGUAUACCCUUUGCAUUCUUAAUUUUUUCCAUAUAAUUUAUUUCCACGUUUUUCUCCUUUCAUUGAAAUAAUAGAUUUCUGAGAACAGGGACUUUGCUGUUGCUACCUUCCCAGAACAUUGUCUGGCACCUAAAAUUCACUAGAUAAAUAUCUGUUGAAUGGAUACAUGGAUCAAUAAUUGAGUGUUUUAACAGAUAUGAAUGAUGUUAUGAUCUACUAAGGGGUUUAUGUUAUGCUGAUAACUCAGUUUGUUUUCUGAAAUAUCUAUAAAAUGAAUGUAUUGGCUCUUUUAGAGUAAAAAUCUCUUUUGGUGGAAGUAUAACUGAUUAAAAUUUUACAUACUGGUAAGGCAAACCUCAUUCAUUCACAAACGUCAUUGGAUUUCAUAGCAGACUACUAAAAUCUCAUCUUGAAAUAAAUAACAAAGUCCUAAAAUUCUGAGGGCUUU